AAAGGGUUUACAAAAUUAGAUACCACAGAGGAAGGGGGGACAGCUGACCAGAGCACAAAGGUUAACAUUUUGAUUGACUCUGAGGAAGGUAGGACAGCUGACCAGAGCACAAAGGUUAACAUUUUGAUUGACUCUGAGGAAGGUAGGACAGUUGACCAGAGCACAAAGGUUAACAUUUUUAUUGACUCUGAGGAAUAUGGCAGUGGGACAGCUAACCAAUCACAAAGGUCAAUUCGUAGA